rnacentral:lncRNA from 1 species
GUGCGUUAUAGGGUCUCCCUACAGCUGUCCUAGAGCUGCUGGGGCAUCACGGGGUUCUUGGGGUCGUCCCCGUGCCGCUCGCUGUUGUCACUGUCACGGGGUCCCAGCAGGGAGUUGUGGAGCCGUUGGGGUGUCACAGGGUCCCCAGGAAUGUCCCUGUGUCACCCGCUGUUGUCACUGUCACCUGGUCUUCCUGUAGCUGUCCUGGAGCUGUUGGGGUGUCACAGGGUCCCUGGGGUUGUUUAGUGUCUCUGGGGUGUCACAGGGUCCCCUCGGGUGUCCCCGUGUCAGUCGCUGUGCUCCCUUUGCCUGUCACAGGCAGCCCUGGGGGGUCGCGGGGUCCCUUGGGUCCCCCCGUGCCACCCGCUGUGGCCCGUUUUUGUUGUCCCAGUGUCCCCUGGAGCUGUCUGAGCGCGCUCGGGGUGUCACGGGGUCCCCGGGGCUGCGUCACCGCGUCCCCGAGGCCACCACGGUGCCGGUGCCUGUGUCACGGGGCCCCGUGUGUCACCGAGGCCCCGGACCGUGUCACGAGGUCCCCGAGGCCACCGCAGGGCGGGUUCCCUCCCCCGUGGGCGUCCCCGAGGCCACCUCGCCCCGCUGUGUCACCGGGCCUGAGGCCACACGGUGUCACCGGCCACCACGGCCACCGUGGGGCUGGGCCCAACCUUGUGCCCGGUGUCACAUGUCCCCAAGGCCACCAAGGGGUCGGGGCCCUGAGACCAGCUCUGUCCCUGGUGUCACAGUGUCCCCAAGGCCACCUGAUCCCAUCAGUAGAUCCCCGAUGCCACCCUGGUUCCAUGUCACACGUCCCCAAGGCCACCAAGGGGUCGGGGCCCUAAGGCCACCUCUGUCCCCGGUGUCACAGUGUCCCUAAGGCCACCCGUCCCCCAUCAUUGGGUCCCCGAUGCCACCCUGGUUGCAUGUCACACGUCCCCAAGGCCACCAAGGGGUUGGGGCCCUGAGACCAGCUCUGUCUCUGGUGUCACAGUGUCCCCAAGGCCACCUGAUCCCAUCAGUAGAUCCCCGAUGGCACCCUGGCUCCGUGUCACACGUCACCAAGGGGUUGAGGCCCCGAGGCCACCUCUGUCCCCGGUGUCACAGUGUCCCCAAGGCCACCUGAUCCCAUCAGUAGAUCCCUGAUGCCACCCUGGUUCCAUGUCACACGUCCCCAAGGCCAC